rnacentral:ncRNA from 1 species
CACACAGGCUUGGUCCCGACCUUACAAUCAGUUUCUACUUAACUUACACAUGCAAGUCUCCGCACACCCGUGAAAACGCCCUUCCACCCACCUAGGAGUAAGGAGCUGAUAUCAGGCUCUAAAUAGCCCAAAACAUCUAGCCACGCCACACCCACAAGGGCCUUCAGCAGUGAUUAACCUUAAGAAUAAACGUCAGUUUGACUUAGUUAAAUGAAAAUAGAGCCGGCCAAUCUGGUGCCAGCCGCCGCGGUUACACCACGAGGCUCAAAUUGAUUCUAUGCGGCGUAAAGCGUGAUUAAAGAAACAAACUACUGGGGUCAAACUUAAAUUAAGCCGUGAUAAGUCUAUUCUUAAGAAGCCCUAACUCAAAUGACACCCCAAUUAACCAACUUGAAUUCACGACAACUAGAGUACAAACUGGGAUUAGAUACCCCACUAUGCCUAGUCGUAAACUUUAACUUACACCCUCUAUCGCCUGGGAACUACGAGCAAAGCUUAAAACCCAAAGGACUUGACGGUGCCCCACAUCCUUCUAGAGGAGCCUGUCCUGUAACCGAUACCCCCCGUUUAACCUCACCACCCUUAGCCCGUCAGCUUGUAUACUUCCGUCGUCAGCUUACCGCAUGAGCGAGUUAAGUAAGCCCAAUGUCCCACAUCAAUACGUCAGGUCAAAGUGCAGCACAUGGGGUGGCAAGAGAUGGGCUACACUUUCUACCUUAGAAGACACGAAAGACUAUGUGAAACCAUACCAAGAAGGCGGAUUUAGCAGUAAGAGGGGACUAGAAUGCCCCUAUUAACCUGGCACUGGGGUGUGUACACACCGCCCGUCACCCUCUUCGACAAAUCAACUAGUUAUUAACUCAACACCCCACCAAAGAAGAGGCAAGUCGUAACAUGGUAAGUAUACCGGAAGGUGUGCUUGGAAA